AUUGAACGCUGGCGGCAGGCUUAACACAUGCAAGUCGAACGGUAACGGGGAGGGAGAUUACUUUCUCUGCUGACGAGUGGCGGACGGGUGAGUAAAGCUUGGGCAACCUACCUCUUUGACUGGGAUAACUACCGGAAACGGUAGCUAAUACCGGAUAAUUCCUUUGUUCACAUGGACGAAGGAUGAAAGGCGGAGCAAUCUGCUACAAGGAGAUGGGCCUGCGGCGCAUUAGCUAGUUGGUGGGGUAACGGCUCACCAAGGCGACGAUGCGUAGCCGACCUGAGAGGGUGAACGGCCACACUGGGACUGAGACACGGCCCAG
rnacentral:rRNA from 1 species